rnacentral:rRNA from 1 species
UACGUAGGAGGCAAGCGUUGUCCGGAAUUACUGGGUGUAAAGCGCGUGUAGGCGGCAGGCCAAGUCUGUGGUGAAAUCGCCCGGCUCAACUGGGCGGGGUCCAUGGAAACUGGUCAGCUGGAGGACGGUAGAGGUGAGUGGAAUUCCCGGUGUAGUGGUGAAAUGCGUAGAGAUCGGGAGGAACACCCGUGGCGAAGGCGGCUCACUGGGCCGGUCCUGACGCUGAGACGCGAAGGCGUGGGGAGCGAACGGG